UACGAAGGGGGCUAGCGUUGCUCGGAAUCACUGGGCGUAAAGGGUGCGUAGGCGGGUCUUUUAAGUCAGGGGUGAAAUCCUGGAGCUCAACUCCAGAACUGCCUUUGAUACUGAAGAUCUUGAGUCCGGGAGAGGUGAGUGGAACUGCGAGUGUAGAGGUGAAAUUCGUAGAUAUUCGCAAGAACACCAGUGGCGAAGGCGGCUCACUGGCCCGGUACUGACGCUGAUGUGCGAAAGCGUGGGGAGCAAACAGG
rnacentral:rRNA from 1 species